GACGAACGCUGGCGGCGUGCUUAACACAUGCAAGUCGAACGGUGAUGCUCCGACUUUCUGGCGUGGAUGUUUGCCGAACGGGUGAGUGAAACGUGAGCAACCUGCCCCAAACUCUGGGGUAAACGCUGGAAACGGCGUAUCAUACUGGGUACGAAACUGUCAACCGUGUGCUUGGUUUGUAAAGUUGGUCGGUUUGGUCUCGUCUGGCGGGCUACCAGCUUCUUGGUGAGGUAAUGGCUGACCAAGGCUACGACGGCUAGCCGGCCUGGGAGGGCGACCGGGCACCAGGGGACUGCGACACGGCCCAGACUCCAACGGGAGGCAGUAGUGGGGAAUAUUGCACAGUGGGGCAAAGCCAGAUGUAGCGACGCCGCGUGAGGGAUGCCGGCUUUCGGGGUGUAAACCUCUGUGAACAGGGAAGAAGCGAAAGUGACGGUACCUGCAGAAGAAGCAACGGCUAACUACGUG
rnacentral:rRNA from 1 species